rnacentral:rRNA from 1 species
AGGUUACUGCUAUCGGUGUUCGCCUAAGCCAUGCGAGUCAUAUGUUCUUCGUGAACAUGGCGUACUGCUCAGUAACACGUGGAUAACCUGCCCUUGGGUCCGGCAUAACCCCGGGAAACUGGGGAUAAUUCCGGAUAACGCAUAUAUGCUGGAAUGCUUUAUGCGUCAAAUGGAUUCGUCCGCCCAAGGAUGGGUCUGCGGCCUAUCAGGUAGUAGUGGGUGUAAUGUACCUACUAGCCUACGACGGGUACGGGUUGUGAGAGCAAGAGCCCGGAGAUGGAUUCUGAGACAUGAAUCCAGGCCCUACGGGGCGCAGCAGGCGCGAAAACUUUACAAUGCGGGAAACCGUGAUAAGGGGACACCGAGUGCCAGCAUCCUAUGCUGGCUGUCCGGGUGUGUAAAAUACACCUGUUAGCAAGGGCCGGGCAAGACCGGUGCCAGCCGCCGCGGUAACACCGGCGGCCCGAGUGGUGAUCGUGAUUAUUGGGUCUAAAGGGUCCGUAGCCGGUUUGGUCAGUCCUCCGGGAAAUCUGACGGCUCAACCGUUAGGCUUUCGGGGGAUACUGCCAGACUUGGAACCGGGAGAGGUAAGAGGUACUACAGGGGUAGGAGUGAAAUCUUGUAAUCCCUGUGGGACCACCUGUGGCGAAGGCGUCUUACCAGAACGGGUUCGACGGUGAGGGACGAAAGCUGGGGGCACGAACCGGAUUAGAUACCCGGGUAGUCCCAGCCGUAAACGAUGCUCGCUAGGUGUCAGGCAUGGCGCGACCGUGUCUGGUGCCGCAGGGAAGCCGUGAAGCGAGCCACCUGGGAAGUACGGCCGCAAGGCUGAAACUUAA